ensembl:lncRNA
GGGAGAGUAACAGUGUGUGUGUAUGUGGGGAGAGUAACAGUGUGUGUGUGUGUGGGGAGAGUAACAGUGUGUGUGUGUGUGUAUGUGGGGAGAGUAACACAUUAACAGUGUGUGUGUGUAUGUGGGGAGAGUAACAGUGUGUGUGUGUGUGUAUGUGGGGAGAGUAACAGUGUGUGUGUAUGUGGGGAGAGUAACAGUGUGUGUGUGUGUAUGGGGAGAGUGACAGUGUGUGUGUGUGUGUGGGGAGAGUAACAGUGUGUGUGUAUGUGGGGAGAGUAACAGUGUGUGUGUGUAUGUGGGGAGAGUAAGUGUGUGUGUGUGUGUGUAUGUGGGGAGAGUAACAGUGUGUGUGUAUGUGGGGAGAGUGACAGUGUGUGUGUAUGUGGGGAGAGUGACAGUGUGUGUGUAUGUGGGGAGAGUAACAGUGUGUGUGUAUGUGGGGAGAGUGACAGUGUGUGUGUAUGUGGGGAGAGUAACAGUGUGUGUGUGUGUGUGGGGAGAGUAACAGUGUGUGUGUAUGUGGGGAGAGUAACAGUGUG